rnacentral:rRNA from 1 species
UACGGAGGGUGCGAGCGUUGUUCGGAAUUACUGGGCGUAAAGGGCGCGUAGGCGGCUGGAUAAGUCAGAUGUGAAAUCCCACGGCUCAACUGUGGAAGUGCAUUUGAAACUGUCCGGCUUGAGUAUCGGAGGGGGAGGUGGAAUUCCCGGUGUAGAGGUGAAAUUCAUAGAGAUCGGGAGGAACACCGGUGGCGAAGGCGGCUGUCUGGACGAAUACUGACGCUGAGGCGCGAAAGCGUGGGGAGCAAACAGG